GCUACGGGUGGCAGCAGUGAGGAAUAUUGGUCAAUGGGCGCGAGCCUGAACCAGCCAAGUAGCGUGAAGGACGACUGUCCUACGGGUUGUCAACUUCUUUUAUCAAGGAAUAAAGUGAGGCUCGUGUGCCUUUUUGUAUGUACUUUAUGAAUAAGCAUCGGCUAACUCCGUGCCAGCAGCCGCGGUCAUCCGGAGGCUGCGAGCGUUAUCCGGAUUUAUUGGGGUUAAAGGGAGCGUAGAUGGGCUGUUAAGUCAGCGGUCAAAUCGUGGGGCUCAACCCCGUCCAGCCGUUGAAACUGGGGGUCUAGAGAGUGCGAGAGGUAUGCGGAAUGCGUGGUGUAGCGGUGAAAUG
rnacentral:rRNA from 1 species